UCCUCCGACGAAGGCCGCGCUCACUGACGGAAGCCCAAGACAAGUCUAACCUUGGGCCGAGAGGUCUUGGUAAUCUUGUGAAACUCCCCUUCGGGGGGGAUAGAGCAUUGUAAUUAUUGCUCUUCAACGAGGAAUUCCUAGUAAGCGCAAGUCAUCAGCUUGCGUUGAUUACGUCCCUGCCCUUUGUACACACCGACAAACG
rnacentral:rRNA from 1 species